rnacentral:rRNA from 1 species
GACGAACGCUGGCGGCGUGCUUAACACAUGCAAGUCGAACGGAAAGGCCCUGCUUUUGUGGGGUGCUCGAGUGGCGAACGGGUGAGUAACACGUGAGUAACCUGCCCUUGACUUUGGGAUAACUUCAGGAAACUGGGGCUAAUACCGGAUAGGAGCUCCUGCUGCAUGGUGGGGGUUGGAAAGUUUCGGCGGUUGGGGAUGGACUCGCGGCUUAUCCGCUUGUUGGUGGGGUAGUGGUUUACCAAGGCUUUGACGGGUAGCCGGCCUGAGAGGGGUACCGGCGACAUUGGGACUGAGGUACGGCCCAGACUCCUACGGUAGGCAGCAGGCGGGAAUAUUGCACAACGGGCGGAAGCCUGAUGCAGCAACGCCGCGUUCGGGAUGACGGCCUUCGGGUUGUAAACCGCUUUCGCCUGUGACGAAGCGUGAGUGACGGUAAUGGGUAAAGAAGCACCGGCUAACUACGUG